UACGUAGGUGGCAAGCGUUGUCCGGAUUUACUGGGCGUAAAGAGCGCGCAGGCGGUCGUUCAAGUCGCGUGUGAAAGCCCCCCGGCUCAACUGGGGAGGGUCACGCGAUACUGAUCGACUGGAAGGCAGGAGAGGGUAGUGGAAUUCCCGGUGUAGAGGUGAAAUUCGUAGAUAUCGGGAGGAACACCAGUGGCGAAGGCGGCGACCUGGGCCAAUAUUGACGCUGAGGUGCGAAAGCGUGGGGAGCAAACAGG
rnacentral:rRNA from 1 species